rnacentral:rRNA from 1 species
UACGUAGGUGGCAAGCGUUGUCCGGAAUUAUUGGGCGUAAAGCGCGCGCAGGCGGUUUCUUAAGUCUGAUGUGAAAGCCCACGGCUCAACCGUGGAGGGUCAUUGGAAACUGGGGAACUUGAGUGCAGGAGAGAAGAGUGGAAUUCCACGUGUAGCGGUGAAAUGCGUAGAUAUUGGGAGGAACACCAGUGGCGAAGGCGGCUCACUGGACCGGUACUGACGCUGAAGCGCGAAAGCGUGGGGAGCAAACGGG